AAGCGGCGCUCUCCUGGGUGGACUCACCCAGAGCUUCAUCAGAGCGAGGAGAGGAGCAGGCAGCUCCCACACGGCUCCCUGGAGCCCAGCUCCCCUCGGGAAUGCAGCACAAGCCUGCACAGGCAUGCCAGGGCAGGCAGCACGCAGAACAAACCUCCUUUGCAGGGUCCCACAGGGCUCUUGCCUAACGCAAAGCUCGGCUUUCCACCUCCGCUUUGAGCUGCUGGAGAUGGUGAUUGUGAAAUGAAAAAGCUGCCCUGGAACCUAGAGCGGUCACUGGAGUUCGUCUCCCCUGGAGAAGGCUGUGAGCCAGCACGGCCAACACAGAGAUAGGAAAACGAAGUAGUUUUACUUUUUUUUCUCAAAGCUGGAAACCCUGCAGGAGUGAGCUGUGAUCCUGAGAUAACAAUGAGCGUUUUCUGUGAUGGCUUGAGUCCACGUGCCACCAACAUUUUCCUUGAGGUGCUAAGCCUCUCCUUUCAACACCAAUGUCAGUAAAGUUCAAGGGAACUCCAGUAGUUCAGAACUGAACCUUGGCUGGAACAAUUCUUGUGGAGGCUGUACAUGCUCGGGCAUCACUUAUAGGAAGGACUGGCACUGACGUAGCAGUAUUUUAUUUACAGAAUCUGUGCUGAUGAACUCUCUAGCUGCCUGUGACCCCUGAAACACUCUGCAGCUUCCAGAAAGUGCAGACUGAGCUAAUUGUCAUGUGUGGACGUGAAGAUCAAUGGGUAAAGGCUGAAGAAAUCUAGCAAAACCCCGUGUCAGCAGCCUGUUGAAUCAGCUCUUUAAACAAGCUGCUGGAUGUUGAUGUAGGGUUUUGAAGUCUUAUGUGCUGACAGACCCUUGUAUUUGCCUACUGAUGGCAAAGGCAUUAUAUUUGUCAUCAACUGCAUGGCAAUAAUUGGAGACAGCAUUUUUGUCACAGACUCAAUAGGUGUUGCAACAAGCCUGGUGUGUUGCCUCUGUCUCUGUUGCCACAUUUUAAAAUUCAUGGAAUAUGCCUAUUUUUUUUUUUCCUAGUAUGUCAUAUCAGAGUCCAAGCUGUUUUAUGAGCAGUAAGCAUUAACUCACCACAAAUGCCACAUCAGCAUCCAGACAGAGCAGGAAUGACUGUGGUUGGGUUCAUCCUUUCCCAAAUGCCUGUUGCAGCAGGACUGUGUCACUCCGGAUUUUGGGUGAGCUGGUCAGCACCCAUCUGUGUGUCUGAUUCUCUGAAGAGAAAAUUAAUCAAAUUCAGGCAAAAACAUGGGACAUGUGUGGGAAAACUGAUGGCCAAAUAUUGCUUGUGUCAACUGGUAAUUGCAAUUCAUUUUGGAAGGAUGUAGCCCCUGGUUAUGUGCAGCCUUUUUCAAGAAUAAACAGAGAUAAAGCUCUCUGAGAUUUUCAGGAGGAGUGAAAAUACUAAGUCUCAUGUCAAGGUUUGCACAAUGCAUUUGAUUCCCCUCCCAUUUUUGCUGUUAAUUCAAAUGAAUGGGUUGCUCUAGGGUUUUGACCCAGGAUCGUGGAGUUCUGCAAAAUUGCUCGAUGCAGGUUAAAUUAGGGUGUGUUUGUGUGGAAAGUGAAGAGAUCCCAUGGUAGGGAUGGCCAUCCCUACAGCAGCAGUGGAAAACAGGCUGGAGAGGAGCAGGCAAACACUGUCUCUGACAUCCCAAGUGAGAGAUGCCUGCUCCAAAGCUGGACCUCUCACCAGUGCUCACACCCCACCCAGGCUUGGCCCUGCAAAUGCAAAUUACUAAAGGUCUGGGUGAGAAAGAAAAUAAAUUUUGUUUCAAAAUCUCCUCCACGCUGCCUUGGUGUUCAGUUCUGAGGGCACUUUCCAAGCUGCUCCUGGACCAGCCCAGCCCUGCAAGCACAGCUUUUGUCUGAGUGAGAGCUGAGGCUGAGCCUGGUGAAGCACCAGCGGCUCUGGAAACCCCCAAGUAGCAGCAGCCAGGCAGCACAACCUAAAAAACCCCUAUUCACCACCAUCCCCAAUAUUAUUAAUCAGCCCACGGUUUGCUCAGACAGGAAAUUGUUACCGACCACUUUAAUUUUACUAAACAAAUGAAACCACCCCAUUACUCAUUCAAAUCUAAUAAACCGCAGCACACAGAGGAGGAAGUGAGCACUUCAAAAUGGCUUGGAGAAAAGUUCUCACUUUGUUUUGCCAUUUAAUUAAAGCCAGGCUCUUUACAGGAAAGGGCAUAAUUAAAUGGCAGCAUGUGUACUAUGAUAAUCUUCUUCACUGGCAUCUCAACAUGCAGCUUGCUACUGAGGGCAGGCAGACUCUUUGUGCUGCUCUUUACACUCCCAGAACCUCACCAGGAGGAAAAUACACUGGGUACCAGCACAGCUCUCCCCUUCAUACCUUGCUGGAUGAUACAGGGCUUCAUUAGGAAGGUGCCAAUGAAAUAAAUUUCCUUGUUGCUCAAUGCCUGCAGAUGUUCAGAAAGCAGCUUCCUGAAGAUGGGCCCUGCAAAUCACCUGGCAGCUGUCGAUUUUAUCGAUGCCUCGGCAUUUCCUGAUCAUCGGGUCUUUAAAACAUAAACAAAAUAGUGCAGCUUUAAUAUUUGCAGUCCUAGCACUAGUUCAAUAUGUGAUGUGAUUUGUGUGCAUAUGUAAAUAUUGUCUUUGCAGUCAGGAGGCAGACAAAGCAUGAAUGUACUUGUACCACAGAGAGGGAUUGCUGUAAUUGUUUGCCUUUCUUCUCAACAUCAAAUUACUGCUUUAAAUGAAGGGAAUUUCACAAACAGGCAGAAAUGCCAUUUUUGCUAUGGGAAUUCUACUUACUCCAGCUGCAUGAUGAAGUUUCACCUGAAAGAAGAGCUCAUAAAUGGGAAUUAUUCCUUUGUGGUGUUUUGGCUCCUAAAAGAUGAUUAAAGAGGAAAAAAGCAGAUAAUCUCAAUAAAGGGCAAAUAUCACAGAGAAACUUAACACCCAACAUGUUUUUGUAGCACUGCAAAGGCCAUGAAGGCGUUUUCAAGCACACAUGGGUUUGUUCCUGUCUGUACAACACCCACUCUUUGGGACUGUUGGCGUUUGGCACCUCCACACUCAGGGGAUGGACGGUGUUUGCUGCAAGGUCCCUGCCAAUUUCUUUGGUGUCUCACCUGGUUUGCCCUAGACAAUCCUUAAUCCAAUGCAAACAGGAGUAAAGUCAACAGGAAGCUGUAUUAAAGAAGCCUGCACACUUAAUAAAUCCCCUGUUAGUCACCAUCAGAAUGAAUUGGUGUGGGAUAAAUCCUUUUUAUCCCAGUCCCAUGCACGGACCAUGCAAUCCACAUGAAACCAGCCCCUCUUCCCUUCCCCAUCACAGAUGUGCUGCAAGACAGGAUUCAAUCUGCUCUCCUUCCCAUCCUUCAAAAUGUUCUCCCCACCACUCUCAUUAGUCUUACUUAAUUUGUUUUGCUCCGUGGAAGGAAUUACAGAUUUGCCAUCCUAGAGAACAGCUGACAUUUUCACAGGAAAAGAAGUACGUGAUUCAUAAUUUUCCAGAAAUCUGCACAUUGCACAUGAAGCACAUCAGCACCUUCUGAGAAGCAGGAUAAAUCCUGAAACUUGUACUCUAUUGUUCCUGUUUGUCUGCUUUAUGUACCUGCUCAAACACCACAACAAAUCUCACAGCCAGCAAGGGAAAAUAUCUGUGGCCUCUCGUGCCAUCAUCAUUCAGCUGAAAGUGGUUGCACCUUGAGGAGAAAAUGACUUUAAACAGUGCCAUUUUGCAAUGGAUUUUUCCAUUGGUGCAGGGGACUGUGGAAAAUCUAAGGUGGAAUUUUGGGAGCUGUAGGAUUGACCUUUUUUUUUCUAAGCCAGAACAUGCACAAGAAAUUCAUAAUGUAGUUCUGAUUCAGUGUUCCAUUUCAGCUGUCACAUUCUGCUUGUCUUGUUGGUUUGGUUUUGUGGGGUUUCUUCCCUUCCCUUUUUAAAAUGAGCAUCCUCAGCUUGUCUUGUCAGGAGCCAUGGGGGGAAAUGCUGUGAUGGAACCAGACUGGCACAACGAGGGUCCUGAGGAAAGCUGACAGGAAAUGCUAUGGAAAGGUCCCAUGGUCAAGGGGACAUUCAGCUCCAUGUUUCUCCAUGACAUUUUGAGAGGUGAACUUGCACAUGUUGUACAGAGCAGAAGAAACUCUGAGAUACUGGAAAAAGUAUUAAUAAUUCAACUCAGUGAGCGUUUUAUGUCAGUGAAUGCAGUCUCAGGAGGAAUAGCUGCAUGUUUUGAAUAAUGUACUCCUCAGAAAUCUUCAGAAACUCAAAAAAUUAUUUAUGAAGUGCAUGUGAGGACAACAGUGGUCUAUCCACUAAGCUAAAAAUGUCUUUCUUUCUGUCCUCUACUUUUUAACCUCACUCACAGGUACCUUAUAUCCCAAAAGGUGUACAACAAAAACUAUUUUAUGUGUGCAAAAGGGAAGCAAAAGCUUUGCAGGGCAGAGGUUGUUUCUCACAUUCUUCUGGCCCUAAUCAGAGCAGGACUUCAAGACACUUUUUAGGAUGCAAUACCCUGCCUGGAGUGCUGCCUCCAGCUCUGGGCCCUCACCACAGGAAAGUCCUGGACCAGUCCAGAGGAGUGAUCAGAGGAAUGGAGCAGCUCUGCUGUGAGGAAAGGCUGAGAGGAUUUGGAUUGCUCAUCCUGGAGAAGAGAAGGCUCCAGGGGGACCUUAGAGCUUAAAGUGCUUAAAGGGGCUCCAAGAGAGCUGGAGAGGGACUUUGGACUCAUAGAGUGACAGGACAAGGGGGAAUGGCUUCCCACUGCCAGAGGGCAGGAUUGGGUGGGAUUUUGGGAAGAAAUUGUUCCCUGUGAGGGUGGGCAGGCCCUGGCACAGGGUGCCCAGAGCAGCUGUGGCUGCCCCUGGAUCCCUGGCAGUGCCCAAGGCCAGGUUGGACAGGGCUUGGAAAAAAGUGGAAUAGUGGAAUAGUGGAACAGUGAAAUAGUGGAACAGUGGAACAGUGGAACAGUGGAAUAGUGGAAUAGUGGAAGGUGUCCCUGCCCAUGGCAGGGGGUUGGAACUUAUUAAGGUCCUUUCCAGCCCAACCCAUUCUGUGAUUCUGUGAUCACAGAAAGCAGCAAUCUGAGAUUCAAGGAACAGCCUCCCACAUUUUCUACUUCUGUUCUGGAAGGGAUCCCCCAGCUCCCUGCAGGCUGAGGCACUGGAGGAGCUCACCCUUCCACCCCUCCAGCUGCAGGAGCUCUCCAAGCGCCUCCUGCCCAGCCCAGUGCCACCCUCACCCCCUGUUCCUACCCACAGCACUGCUAGGACAGUGGCAUUUCCUGCUCUGGAGCUGCACAUGCCUGUUGCUUGCUCUGGAGGGAUAAUCCUGGCGUGAGUACACAGCAGCCCUCAGAGGGAGAUUCCUCUGCAGGGCCUUUUCCUUGGCUCUCCACAGCUCUGGAAGUCCCCAGCCCGUGGUGCCACCGAGGCGGCUCCUGGCCCGUUCUUCCCCACACACCUCAUUUCCAUCCUCCUCUCCAGGGCCAGUUUGCUCCCAUGCAGGCUUUGGUGACAUCCCUGGGCUGCAGGAGGCUCUAGAUUUACAAAUUCCCUGCAAAAGCUCCCCAGCAGCACAGGUAUCUGCUUGCCAGUAAAAAACCCCAUUGUAAUAAAAGUGCUGAGGUUCCUCUUUCUCCCCCAGCACCUUCCCAGAAGUUAUGUGAAAUGAUGGUAUAGCUUUAUUAAACAACGACAAAAAAAUCCCAAAACACAAAGCCCUGACUUUCAGAGCAUUUUUAGAAUCCUUUCCAGUGUACCUUCAUGUUUACUCCAACCACUGUUUAAACAGUUUGUGUUUGCUUAGGCAACUAGAUUUAUAUCCCAGAUCAGUAAAUAAACCUGUUACUGUGUGCUUUCCUACAGAUACUUCUGCCUUUAGAAGGCAGAAGUAACGAAUACAUUAUUAUUUGAUUAUGAUUAACAAAUACAUUAUUAUUGAAGAAAAUGACAUGCACAAAGCAAGCUGGUGUCUUUAAGGAAAAAAUCCAGGAAUUAUGGCUGUGGUUUGAUGUAUGGAUGCAGGCACACAGGCAGGCACAGCUGCUUAGCCCAGGAUUUAGGUUUAGAAGUGUGUCCCUAAGCAAAAUGAUGUCCGAGUAAAAAUACUAGGGUGGAUGAUAAAAUACAAAUCCAGAGUCUGUGGGUUAGAUUUCACUGAGCUUUGGCUGGAGCUGCUGGAUUGAGGAGCUCUGUCUCCUCUGGCUUAGACAUUACAUAGCCAAGCUUGUCAUUUUUCAUCUCCUCUGGAAUGCAAUUUUGCAACAAAUACCGAUUCUAACUACGAGGUGCGAAGGAAUUUUUUUUUUAAAUAAACUUUUACCUUGUCCACCUGCAUUCAGAGCAGGUCAGAGAGUGGAAGGAAGGUGUCCCCUGCCCAGGAGAGAGGUGCUGAGGGGAGCUGGGCUGCACACAGCCCUGGCACUGGCACUUCAAACCCUUCCAUCCCAAAAUAGGGGCUGGUGAGGUCUAAAUCACAAACACACAAUAAAACCCACUUGAAACGAGUCCAUGUAAACGAAGGGAUUGAAAAACAGCUCUGUAUCUCUGUCCUGUUUCCCUUUCCAGGAAGGAACAUCUCUUGGGUAACCUAAAAACAAAACAAAGUAGAAGAAAACUUUAUUUAACCUCCAGCUAAUUUCCUAUCAGGACUAAUUUUAGCUGGUUGGAUUCUGUUUGGUGGAUGUGCCUCCCAACACAGUAAAUUCAGAGGGAUGUUGCCCUUUGCCUGAAGCAACUGUUGCAGUGCUCUGGUUAAAACUGAUUUAAUUCCACAUCGCAGCAUAAAUUUUUAACACGAAAUGUCACUCUCUGUUUAAGCACAGCAGCACAGGGGUCUGGUGAGGCUGAUGGCUGAAUCCUGCUCCCUGGAAAAGCCCAGCCACACACAGAGCAAGCAGCUGCUGGAACUGCCUUGCAGUCACUCCUGCCUCUGGGAGAGCACAGGAGGAUAAAAACAUUGUCAUGAAAGCUUCUCCACGCGUGUUUUGAGACAGACAGUCCUUAAUUGAAGGGAGAUCAAGUCAGGGACCAGCCCAAAACACUUAGAUUAUUUUUCCAUGAGUCAAGGGUUAUACUCAAAACAAAAAAUUAGCCUACAAACACCCAGGCCAGGCUGGUGCACUGAGCGUUUCCCAGCACAGGUCACUGCUGCCAGCCUCCUGCUACGGAGGAAAAACCAUCUGACAAACUGCUUGGAAAGUCUGUGAGACUUUAUUCACUCUGUCUGCCUCUGCCUUUCUAAAACCUUUAAUUUUAGGGCCUGCAAUUAUUUGCACCGCCGUCAGCUCGAGGGGUAGAAAAUUGUGGAAGGAGCAUAAAAGGAUAACAAAUACAUUUAGGGACUCUCUAAAACUGACAGCAAGUGUUGCUGCUGAGUGCUUGGGGAGACCAGAACCAGGUUCUUCUCUCACCUAAGUGAGAAUUGCAUCAUCUUUGUGGUUUAGAAUCUUUCCAGGGUAAGGAGAUAGCAGGUUACCAAACUGGCCCAGAAAUUAUGACUGAGGAGUGUCUGCAGCUCACCUCAAUCUGAGACACUGGAGAAAGAAGGGAAAGGGAAGAAAUAAUUUUUAAGCAAGUGAAUUUAAAAAAAAAAAAAUCACAGGGACUUGUACAAAUAAAAAGCAACACCUUUAUUAAAGUAGUGCCUGAAGUUAAUGUUUGGUCAGACGCUGUCUUUGAUCCCAUCAGAGGGAAAUGAUUGAAAGGGAAUGAGAAAUGCAGGGGCAGAGUGGCUGGAAAAGGUGAUUUCAGGACACUUCCCUGCAUCACAUCCCCCCAGGACCCACCAGAGCCCAGCCCCUGCCCAGCCUCAGCCCCGUGCAGGCAGAGCUUCUGUGGAUGAUUGGUUUUCCAGCCUGGCAUCCAAGGUCCCUGUUUUGUUACAAGCCAGAAUCUGAAUGCUUGAAAUGACAUAAAAACCCUUUGUGUGCUCAUAAAUGCAGGGGCAGAGGCUGCAGCCGUGUUUUCCUGCUGUGCUGGGAGGAGCAGCACCUGGCACAGCUCUGGGAAGGGGCAUCUUGCUCUUGACAGAUCUGUCUUUUAAAUUUUUUUUUUCCUUAUUUGUGGGCAGAAAAUAAAUUUUCAUAAACUACCCUUGUUAAAUUGACCCUUAUUUUCUUCAUGAACUAAAAGGUACAUUUGAGAUUUUACUACUCACACUGGAUGUAAAUGAAAAGAAAGCUGUCUUACACACAAUUUAGCCUUCUGUAAUCAUUAGCACGCUUUCCUAAGUCCACAAUUGAAUCACUUUGACAUUUUUUGUGGGAUUUACAAACCCAUUUAGCUUCUGUUGGACAAAUGGGGCUGUGCCAGAUGCCAAACAGGGCUGAAGAUGAUUUAGGAUUGUUUCCAGUCCUGCAGCAGCAAUUUCUCCUUCUGUCUCUAGCAUGAACAAAUAAACCCAAUUACAGGCAGGGCAAGAACAAAAAGUUGCUUACUAGGACAAAACAAAGCAGCAAACUUUUAGGAAGAAGAAGGGAAAAUAUUGUUUUGCAGUAAUGGUUGCAUUUUUCAUCUGGUGACACUCAGCCCUGGCAGGGAUGUGUGAAAGCCGCUUCAGGGCUGGUUUGCAGAGCUCAGAGCAGGUGGUGUCAACGAGUUUAAAAAAAAAAAAAAAAGCUAUGAAUAAUGAAUAAUACAUAACCAAACUUUAGUUGAGUAAUUAUUAAUAGGAAACACAGCAUUUGAGAUAAAGGAGGCUCUCAGCUGGCAGAACGUGGUGGGGAUCACCACAACACUGAAGUUGGCCAUCCGUGGGGUUUACUUGGAACUCAGAAGAAAAGGAAAUGUAUUUUCCCUGCUGUUUCCCUGAAUAGUUGAGAGUGGAGCAAAUCACCACCCACAGGAGGCAGAAGAAAAAAAAUCUGUUUCUGAUGCAACUUCCCAUGUUUUCAAUCAGCAUUUUCCAUAAGCUGCCUUUUGGUGAUGCAUUUAAAACUGAUGCAAAUGCUCUGAUUGCGAAGAGUAUACGUACAUUAAAAAGUAAAAAAAUAAAUAUAAAAAAUAUAAUAUAUAUAUUAAAUACACUUUAUAUAUAUAGAUAUAUAUUUAUGGGUUGGCUGAACAGAGCCACGGUUUCUGGAUGAAAUGGAAGGGAAGAUUAAUUAUUAGCUUCUUCAAGUAGCUGUGCAUUUGUGGGCCCUGGAAACACAGGUACUAUUUUGCAAAGGGCUCGUUGCAAAUGAGAAAUGAGCUCCAGCUCCACCAUAUCUCCUCCCCCACGCUGUGAAAGGUCACAGUUGGCUGAGCUCCAUUGUAGCUCCCCUCAGAAAGUGGUGAAGGAAUUCAGAAGUUGUUUUUUCCCACCAAAAAUAAAAAAGAAAAAGAAAGAAGAAAAGAACAAUUGUACACCAUUUCCAUUUUCUGAAGAGGAAAUGGUGAUUUGUCUCAGCCAUGCUAUUGCCUGGGAAUUCGGCAGCCUUUGGUAUUAAAGGAGUUAAACAGCAGGUUUGCCUUAAACCUUGAGGAAAUCAUGUUGUUUGAAUUGCUUUUUUCCAUGGUAAAUAAGAGUGAAUUCUCCCUAGCACCUUCUCUGUUUGAGGUGCACCCUGCCUCUGGUUUUUAUUCAAUCCCACCUCAGGUCUCACACACACAUGAGCCACACCUGAAAGGGGCACCCACGCUGGAAAAAUCUCAGCUGAAGAAAAACAAGUAGGAAAUGCACUGAAAUGCUCUGAAAUUCCAUCUCUUGAGCAGACAUGAACUCCAAGGCACUCAUUAAUUGUGUUCUGUGGGCUCCCUCAUCCUGUGGGUCAUGCUGGAAAGCCAGAGGAGGAUCCAGCAAUGGAUUCUUCACUGUGACCUUUUAAAUGAUGGCAGCAGCAUGGGUGCCACUGGAAGAUCCCCAGAUCCUCUUUUGUUGUGAACCAGCCCCUCCAAACCAUACUGCAAAUUUUCCCUCCGGGUCUCCUGUCCAAACACAAACCUGCUCUGUCUCCUCAGCAUGGAAUUCUGUGUCACAGCUGUGCUUUGGGUGAAUCUUACCCAUAUUUUUAAAUUUUUUUUGUACGUGGCACCUGCCUGUUUCCCUCCCUGCAGAGGGUGGACCUUGUCUGGGCAGGAAUCAGGACAAACAGGGAACAAGGCUGGGCUGCCUGUGACCCUUGGAUGGUUUGGGUUGAUCAAUUCCUCAUCCAGACACCAGUUAUUAAUGGGCUGCUCUCUGGAAACCUCUGAUUCAGGGCUCCAGAGCUGUCAAGAACUCAUUCCAAUCAGAUCAGCUAAGGUUGCAUGUCAAAUAAACAAAAUGCUGCCUGCCUCUAAACCCUCUGGAAGAACCCCAAGUCAAGGCAGCAUCUGAGCAGAACAGGGUAGUUUUGAGAGAGACCAUUUUUGAUGUUCCCUUCUCUCUGUCCUUCUUCCCCAAGGGGGUAAUUCAGAGGAGCUGAAUCUUCACACCUCAAAUUCAUAUAAAAGCACAUUAUUAAUAAAUUGUGUUCACUGGGUGAGAGUGAGAUGAGAAUCAUGACAAACCUGAUGGUGACAUUUAGUAUCACAACUUUGAAAAGCUGUUUUCAACAGCACACUGCGAGAUGAAGCUGCCAACAAGAAGACAGAACGUGCAGACACCUCAUUUCUGCAGGGUUUUCCACUCUGCAUCAGCCAUGUGAUGACAGAAAUGGUUCUUAUAACUAUUUAUUUAAGGCUUUAUUAUAAUGCUCAUGCCAGAGGGCCCUGGAUUAAGAAGAACUGGAAGUUUUAAUCGUGUCAUUUCAUUGUUUUUGUGGGCCUGGCGUGGCGUUCGCUCGUGGGCAGCUGCUGGCUUUACAAAGAACACUGUGUGAAAAGUCAGUAUUUUUCAGUGCCCUAACAAUGGACAAAGCUCACAGGGGCAGUAUAUACCUACUGCUCUGCACAUUGUUCAUGCUCUGCAGAGGAAGAGGAACGGGGCUGGGCUCCUCCAGAAAUGAGACAGAAACGCGCUGAGGUCUCGUUUCCUGCGCAGAGAGCGCCAGCGGUGCGUUCCAGCUGUGCCAUGGUCUGUGAGAGCUGCUGCAUCCUCCUGAAAUCACUCACCAGGGUGAAAAAGGCCAAGAAGGGUCUUUUUUUCUGCUUUUAACCAGUGCAGGAGCCGUGGCAGCUGCAGCAGGCUGAGCUGGGGACAGUCCCUUUGAGUGGGGAGCAGAGAUCCCCUCAUCUCCACCCAGUGAAGAGCGAAGCCUCAGAACAUCCCAGCAUCCACAACAGCCUCGACGUGUCUGGACAUUCACAGACCAUCCCUGAUGUGCCCAGUGAUGGCCAACAGGCCCCUGGCCACCAGCUGCACAAAAUCUGCCCAGCUGGGCUUCAAACCCGCUGAAGUAAUUGUUUAAAGUAGCCACAGCCAAGCAGAAACUGGAAAAUGUUAGAGCUGUUUGAGGUGCUGGUUGUACACACUGCCACUCACACUCAUUAAUCAGACUCCAAAAAUGAUGGAUGGCUUCAAAUGUUGUUGCUUGUAAGUGAAAGUUUAGGGGCUCUGGUUGUUUGACACUGGCUUUGUGCCAUUUGAGGUUUUUUUUAGGGUGGUAUAAGAUUUAGCUGCUCCCAGGGUAUGGGGCUUUCAAGCCCAUUCUUCCUCCCAACUAAAAAUCGUGGAUUUCUGAAAAAAUCACACUUUGGCAACCCUGUGUAUAUAUUGGGUGGCAUUUAAUGGACAAGAAUUCAUUGGUAGCUUCUCCUUUCCCCUGUGUGCUUGAAUGGAGCACGGAGAGGCAACUUCAUCUCUUCAUGGUUGUGAGAAUAUCAGAGAAAUGGGAAACACCAGGGGCACUGGAAAACCCCUCUCCAUUUCCAGGAGCUAUCCUGGGAUUACAACAUGGGUGAUGUUCAUUUCAACCAGAAGAAAACAUUCUGAACAAUAUUUUCAUUUAUAUAUUUUUUUUAAAAUAUAUUGUGGCCUUUUCCGGGAAAUAAUUUUCCUCAUCUCAUCUUCCUCCUCCUUGCCUUUCACCUGAAGUGAUGGACACCAUAAAAGACAUUUCUUGAUCCCAGAUGUGUUCCAUUUCCUGCAGCUGAAAUUGAAAUCACUGCCUUCUUCAUAAAUACCUGCCAGGGAUGAAGAUGAAGAAAUUCAGAACUUUCUGCCACUGCUGUGGUUCGAAACAAAUAAAUCAGGAGGAUUUGAGGAGAUAGCCAGCAUUUUCUAAUUUGUUUCUACUGGCAAAAGUGCUGCAGUGAGGUUACAUCCAAACAAAUUUGGUGGCAGCAUCUGCUUUGUAAUGACCUAAAUGUCUAAAUCUAACUUUAGAAAGUGACUUGCAGCAGGUUCAGGCAAGGCUUUCAGAGUUUUAUUUUCACUCCUUUAAGGGAACAGCUGCUCCAUGGGGUUUGUGUAGCUGCUGAUUUUGGGAUCCCUGGAGGGAUCCUGAGCCCAGCAGAGCUGCUGUGGGUGGACCAAGACCCCAACACACCCAGAGGGGCACAUCAGUGAGUUUGUGCUAGACCACAAAGGGGUGGACACACCAAAAUUUUAAUACCUGACAGCACUGGAUUAAAAUGGGCAAAUGUGGGUGUUUUGCAGACUUCCAGCUGUUGUAUGGUCCAGAUCCUCUGGGCAGUCUGUGGCUGGGCUGGACUGCUCUGGUUUUUUUAAUAUAUAGGAUUUUUGCAUCCAGGCUAAAUAGAUGUUGAAAAAAAUAGGUUUAUUGUUUUGUGUCAUACACACAUAAAAAAUAUAAAUGCAUAAACAAUACCACAUUUCUGAGCUGCACAGGAAAAUGUGCUUUUUAGGGUAUUUUAAAUAUUUAAUUUGCCAUUCUGGAAUAAAAUUAGUCACAUUAAUAAUCCUAAUAAAAUGUAAGAUCAGUGUCCAGAGAUGUAAGGGAUUAUUACUGUAUAUGAAGUAAAGAAACAAUUAAAGAGCAUAUAAAUGCCUUCUGUCCCAUGUAGCUUUGGCCUUUUAAAUAUUUUGUUGUAGGAUUUUCUUUUCUCUUAAAGUUAGUGGCAAAAACACAUCUCAGGUCAAAAUAGUAAAUAGUGAAUCACCCACGAAUUCAGCUCAUUUCCUAUCUCUGACUGAAAAAAUGUUGAUUCCAGGCAUGGGAGCAGAACUUUGAGCCAAACAGUAAUUUCUUUAUGGUGUGGAUGACUCAUAGGAAAGAAUGCCUCAUGGGGAUAGCAGGAGAAAAAACUAAAGAAGGAAAAAAAAAAAUAAAAAAGUAAAAA